rnacentral:rRNA from 1 species
AUCCUGGCUCAGGACGAACGCUGGCGGCGUGCUUAACACAUGCAAGUCGAGCGGUAAGGCCCUUCGGGGUACACGAGCGGCGAACGGGUGAGUAACACGUGGGUGAUCUGCCUCGCACUCUGGGAUAAGCCUGGGAAACUGGGUCUAAUACCGGAUAUGACCUUACAUCGCAUGGUGUUUGGUGGAAAGAUUUAUCGGUGCGAGAUGGGCCCGCGGCCUAUCAGCUUGUUGGUGGGGUAAUGGCCUACCAAGGCGACGACGGGUAGCCGGCCUGAGAGGGCGACCGGCCACACUGGGACUGAGACACGGCCCAGACUCCUACGGGAGGCAGCAGUGGGGAAUAUUGCACAAUGGGCGAAAGCCUGAUGCAGCGACGCCGCGUGAGGGAUGACGGCCUUCGGGUUGUAAACCUCUUUCGACAGGGACGAAGCGCAAGUGACGGUACCUGUAGAAGAAGCACCGGCCAACUACGUGCCAGCAGCCGCGGUAAUACGUAGGGUGCGAGCGUUGUCCGGAAUUACUGGGCGUAAAGAGCUUGUAGGCGGCUUGUCGCGUCGAUCGUGAAAACUUGGGGCUCAACCCCAAGCUUGCGGUCGAUACGGGCAGGCUUGAGUACUUCAGGGGAGACUGGAAUUCCUGGUGUAGCGGUGAAAUGCGCAGAUAUCAGGAGGAACACCGGUGGCGAAGGCGGGUCUCUGGGAAGUAACUGACGCUGAGAAGCGAAAGCGUGGGUAGCGAACAGGAUUAGAUACCCUGGUAGUCCACGCCGUAAACGGUGGGUACUAGGUGUGGGUUUCCUUCCACGGGAUCCGUGCCGUAGCUAACGCAUUAAGUACCCCGCCUGGGGAGUACGGCCGCAAGGCUAAAACUCAAAGGAAUUGACGGGGGCCCGCACAAGCGGCGGAGCAUGUGGAUUAAUUCGAUGCAACGCGAAGAACCUUACCUGGGUUUGACAUACACCGGAAACCUGCAGAGAUGUAGGCCCCCUUGUGGUCGGUGUACAGGUGGUGCAUGGCUGUCGUCAGCUCGUGUCGUGAGAUGUUGGGUUAAGUCCCGCAACGAGCGCAACCCUUAUCUUAUGUUGCCAGCGCGUAAUGGCGGGGGACUCGUUGAGAGACUGCCGGGGUCAACUCGGAGGAAGGUGGGGACGACGUCAAGUCAUCAUGCCCCUUAUGUCCAGGGCUUCACACAUGCUACAAUGGCCGGUACAGAGGGCUGCGAUACCGUGAGGUGGAGCGAAUCCCUUAUAGCCGGUCUCAGUUCGGAUCGGGGUCUGCAACUCGACCCCGUGAAGUUGGAGUCGCUAGUAAUCGCAGAUCAGCAACGCUGCGGUGAAUACGUUGCCGGGCCUUGUACACACCGCCCGUCACGUCAUGA